rnacentral:rRNA from 1 species
CCUACGGGGGGCAGCAGUGGGGAAUAUUGGACAAUGGGGGGAACCCUGAUCCAGCCAUGCCGCGUGUGUGAAGAAGGCCCUCGGGUUGUAAAGCACUUUCAGUGAGGAAGAACGCCUGGUGGUUAAUACCCAUCAGGAAAGACAUCACUCACAGAAGAAGCACCGGCUAACUCCGUGCCAGCAGCCGCGGUAAUACGGAGGGUGCGAGCGUUAAUCGGAAUUACUGGGCGUAAAGCGCGCGUAGGUGGCUUGAUAAGCCGGUUGUGAAAGCCCCGGGCUCAACCUGGGAACGGCAUCCGGAACUGUCAAGCUAGAGUGCAGGAGAGGAAGGUAGAAUUCCCGGUGUAGCGGUGAAAUGCGUAGAGAUCGGGAGGAAUACCAGUGGCGAAGGCGGCCUUCUGGACUGACACUGACACUGAGGUGCGAAAGCGUGGGUAGCAAACAGGAUUAGGUACCCCUGUAGUC